AUGUUGGCCACCGCUUCUGAAGAUCUCACCACGACAAUCCGCUCCGAGAUCCAGCCACCUCUGCUUCACACCCCACCUGCUGCUUCCACCCCGAUGGCGCCGCCGCGCCACAACAGCAGGCGCCUCGCCGGAAAGCGAGCCGCCGCGUUGGGCACCAUCGAACGGGCCAGGGGCGUCCUGAGGAAGAAGUGGGGAAUCACGGACGACAACGACGGCGCCGCUUCAGAGGAAGCACUUCUGCAACGCUUCCUCGACCUCUUCAAGGAGCCGCUGUCCGCCGACGAGAUCAACGCAGUGAAGGCACUAUUCGGCUCUUGUCAGCUAUCCAAGGUGACGCCGGCGCUCCUGGCCAGGCUUGCCGCGGGUCGUCGCCUGCGCACCAGGCGCAACGCCACAAGGUGA
rnacentral:rRNA from 1 species